AGUAUACUGCGAAACUGCGAAUGGCUCAUUAAAUCAGUUAUCGUUUAUUUGAUAGUACCUUUACUCGGAUAACCGUGGUAAUUCUAGAGCUAAUACGUGCAAACAAGCCUGACUUACGAAAGGCUGUACUUAUUAGAUAAAAAACCAAUGCCCUUUGGGCUCGUUGGUGAAUCAUGAUAAUUAAACGAAUCGCAUGGCCUUGAGCUGGCGAUGGUUCAUUCAAAUUUCUGCCCUAUCAACUUUCGAUUGGUGAGUAGUGUUCACCAAUGGUGUCGACGGGUAACGAAGAAUUAGGGUUCGAUCUCGGAGAGGUCGCCUGAGAAACGGCGAACACAUCCAAGGAAGGCAGCAGGCGCGCAAAUUACCCAAUCCCGAUACGGGGAGGUAGUGACAAUAAAUACUGAUGCAGGGCUCUUUUGGGUCUUGCAAUUGGAAUGAGUACAAUUUAAACCCCUUAACGAGGAACAAUUGGAGGGCAAGUCUGGUGCCAGCAGCCGCGGUAAUUCCAGCUCCAAUAGCGUAUAUUAAAGUUGUUGCAGUUAAAAAGCUCGUAGUUGAAAUUUGGGCCUGGCUGGCCGGUCCGCCUCACCGCGUGUACUGGACUGGCCGGGCCUUUCCUUCUGGGGAAGCUCAUGGCCUUUAUUGGCUGUGUAGGGGAACCAGGACUUUUACUUUGAAAAAAUUAGAGUGUUCAAAGCAGGCCUUUGCUCGAAUACAUUAGCAUGGAAUAAUGAAAUAGGACGGCUUUCUUAUUUUGUUGGUUUCUAAGAGAGCCGUAAUGAUUAAUAGGGAAUAGUCCGGGGGCAUCAGUAUUCAAUUGGUCAGAGGUGAAAUUCUUGGAUUUAUUGAAGACUAACUACUGCGAAAGCAUUUGCCAAGGAUGUUUUCAUUAAUCAGUGAACGAAAGUUAGGGGAUCGAAGACGAUCAGAUACCGUCGUAGUCUUAACCAUAAACUAUGCCGACUAGGGAUCGGUGGAUGUUACUAUUUUGACUCCAUCGGCACCUUACGAGAAAUCAAAGUUUUUGGGUUCUGGGGGGAGUAUGGUCGCAAGGCUGAAACUUAAAGAAA
rnacentral:rRNA from 1 species